rnacentral:rRNA from 1 species
AAUCAACGCUGGCGGCGUGCCUCAGACAUGCAAGUCGAACGCGAAAGUCCCCUUCGGGGGAGUGAUUAGAGUGGCGCACGGGUGAGUAACACGUAGGUAAUCUACCUUCGAGUGGGGAAUAACUCAGGGAAACUUGAGCUAAUACCGCAUAAUGCAGCGGCACCACAUGGUGACAGUUGUUAAAGCAUUUAUGCGCUUGAAGAGGAGCCUGCGGCAGAUAGCUAGUUGGUAAGGUAAUGGCUUACCAAGGCUACGAUCUGUAACCGGCCUGAGAGGGCGGACGGUCACACUGACACUGAAUAACGGGUCAGACUCC